ensembl:lncRNA
AAGAUGUACCCAUAGAAUGCUAGUCAGGAUCCAUAGCAAAUCAGCUGUAACAUAAAGGCAGAUUGGCCUGGUGUGACAGAGGCUGCCUGCCUGCUUGCAUGUGUUAGGUGAAAGUACAAGGGCUGCUGCAAAAGUAAUGUCUCCUAUUUUAUUAUGUUAGUCUGUGACAUAAAAAGCAGAUGUAUGGCAGCAGAGCUUGAACCUUCCACCAGUAUUCCAUUAUAUUUUGUUGCUGUGUGACAUAUGGCAGCAGAGGCGCGGUCUGACAGAAUGACUUUCUGACAUGGAAGUGCAUAUGAAGCAAAGGUGUGGAAUUAAAUUCCUUAAGGUGGAAAAAAUUGCACCCAUUGACAUUCGUUGGCACCUGCUGAACAUUUAUGGAGACCAAACAGUAGCUGUGAGCACAGUGAGGUGGUGGGUGGUGCAUUUCAGCGGUAGCAACAGUGAUGUGAAAGACAAGCCAUGUUCCCAGCUGCCCUGCACAGAUGCCAUCCCAUGAAAUGAAGAGCAUCUCAAUCAGCUCAUCCACAUGAAUCUGCUAAUGAUGCAGCAAAAGAGACAGCUUUAUUGACUCAGAGGACCUGAGGUCUGCCUCGAGCAUCCCACUUCAUAAGCAAUGAGAAGGUCCAGUAGGCUGUGGCAACAGUGGAGGACUGAGGACCAGCAGAGCCUAUAGGCCAACUGCUGGAAACCAGGGACUGUCUAAGGUGUGAUCUUACCCCAGAUUUACUCAGAACAGCUGUCCAUUACACUUGAUAACAUCCUGGCACCCAAAAGAGCCAAGUACUUGUAUCAGACCUGAACAGUGGAAGUGGAAAGCAAGUCUGAAGGAUAAGUAUUGCAUUAUUAUAUUGAAUAAAAUGUUGGUUAGCAAUUGUUACAUAUUAAGUGGGAUCUGAAUUACUUAACACCCGUGCAAUCUAUUUUCUUCUCCAGAAACAGGGGACCGCUUGGAAGGACUGAGGUACCUCAACAAGAGCCAAGUAUUAUAUAAUCUGUGAAGGGUUUAUGACAGAGAUGGAAAUAAUUCUCAAAGACAAAAGCUAUUUAUAAGAUAUUUUCUGCAAAUAUUGCACUGUUUGGAUGGUUUUCAGUUG